CGCAUCUGUGCAUGCAGCAUAUCAAUAAGCGGAGGAAAAGAGUGCUACUACCUACGCUUAGGAUGUUGACGCGCAGUGCUGGUGGUCUAAUGACUAUGCGCAUAUCAAUAAGCGGAGGAAAAGAAACUAACAAGGAUUCCCUUAGUAACGGCGAGUGAAGCGGGAAGAGCUCAAAUUUGAAAUCUUCAAGGUUUUACCUUGACGAAUUGUAGUUUAAAGAAGUGUUUUCUGUUGAAGUUUUGGUAAAAGUUCUUUGGAAUAGGACAUCAUAGAGGGUGAGAAUCCCGUAUUUGACCAUUAUUUUCAGCUGUGUGAUACACUUUCAAAGAGUCGGAUUGUUUGGGAAUGCAGUCCAAAAUGGGUGGUAAAUUUCAUCUAAAGCUAAAUAUUGGCGAGAGACCGAUAGCGAACAAGUACCGUGAGGGAAAGAUGAAAAGAACUUUGAAAAGAGAGUUAAACAGUACGUGAAAUUGUCAAAAGGGAAGCGUUUGACACCAGUGUUGUUUUCUCGAAAAUCAAUUAAAAAGAGUUAGGAUUUUGUUGUGUAUUGACCUUAACAGCUUGCAUUUCAAUCUUUUCCUUAGCUUUUUUUAAUGCACUUUUCGUUUAACAAGUCAACAUCAGUUUCUUUUGUUGUAAAAGGGUCAUUGGAAGGUGGCUUUCUUUCGGAGAAAGUGUUUAUAGCCUUUGAUCUCCUGCAAUCGGAGAGACUGAGGUCUGCAGCGUAGAUCCUUCGGGGUUAGAUACAUUUGUGCUAAGUUAUAGCUUUUAUAGACAACUUGUUGACUAUGAUUAGUCUUGUAGCUUACUCGCUUAUGCUAUUUUACCUACGCUUAGGAUGUUGACGCGCGUGUGUGCGUG
rnacentral:rRNA from 1 species